rnacentral:rRNA from 1 species
UACGGGGGGGGCAAGCGUUGUUCGGAAUUACUGGGCGUAAAGGGCUCGUAGGCGGUUCGCUAAGUCGGUUGUGAAAUCCCUGGGCUUAACCUGGGAACUGCAGUCGAUACUGGCGAACUAGAAUGCGGUAGAGGGUGGCGGAACUCCGGGUGUAGCGGUGAAAUGCGUAGAUAUCCGGAAGAACACCGAUGGCGAAGGCAACCACCUGGGCCUGCAUUGACGCUGAGGUACGAAAGCGUGGGGAGCAAACAGG